rnacentral:rRNA from 1 species
CAGCAGCCGCGGUAAUACGUAGGGGGCAAGCGUUGUCCGGAAUCAUUGGGCGUAAAGCGCGUGUAGGCGGCUUGGUAAGUCCGUUCUGAAAGCCCGGGGCUCAACCCCGGGAGGCGGAUGGAUACUGUCAAGCUCGAGUCCGGAAGAGGCGAGUGGAAUUCCAGGUGUAGCGGUGAAAUGCGCAGAUAUCUGGAGGAACACCAAUGGCGAAGGCAGCUCGCUGGGACGGUACUGACGCUGAGACGCGAAAGCGUGGGGAGCAAACAGG